GGUUCUGUAGUGUAGUGAUUAUCACAUCUGCUUAACACGCAGAAUGUCCUGGGUUUAAUCCCCAGUGGAACCA